GCGUCGAUGGCCGAAUGUUUAGGCAGCGGAUUGCAAAUCCGUUUUAUAUCGGUUAGAAUCCGGUUCGGCGCUCCA
rnacentral:tRNA from 1 species